AGUGAACGCUGGCGGUAGGCCUAACACAUGCAAGUCGAACGGCAGCACAGUAAGAGCUUGCUCUUACGGGUGGCGAGUGGCGGACGGGUGAGGAAUACAUCGGAAUCUACUUUUUCGUGGGGGAUAACGUAGGGAAAUUUACGCUAAUACCGCAUACGACCUACGGGUGAAAGCAGGGGAUCUUCGGACCUUGCGCGAUUGAAUGAGCCGAUGUCGGAUUAGCUAGUUGGCGGGGUAAAGGCCCACCAAGGCGACGAUCCGUAGCUGGUCUGAGAGGAUGAUCAGCCACACUGGAACUGAGACACGGUCCAGACUCCUACGGGAGGCAGCAGUGGGGAAUAUUGGACAAUGGGCGCAAGCCUGAUCCAGCCAUACCGCGUGGGUGAAGAAGGCCUUCGGGUUGUAAAGCCCUUUUGUUGGGAAAGAAAAGCAGCAGGUUAAUACCCCGCUGUCCUGACGGUACCCAAAGAAUAAGCACCGGCUAACUUCGUG
rnacentral:rRNA from 1 species